UACGUAGGGUGCGAGCGUUAAUCGGAAUUACUGGGCGUAAAGCGUGCGCAGGCGGUGAUGUAAGACAGGUGUGAAAUCCCCGGGCUUAACUUGGGGAAUUGCGCUUGUGACUGGCGUGCUGGAGUGUGGCAGAGGGAGGUGGAAUUCCACGUGUAGCAGUGAAAUGCGUAGAGAUGUGGAGGAACACCGAUGGCGAAGGCAGCCUCCUGGGCCAGCACUGACGCUCAUGCACGAAAGCGUGGGGAGCAAACAGG
rnacentral:rRNA from 1 species